rnacentral:rRNA from 1 species
GGUAGCAUAAUCAUUAGUUCUUUAAUUGUGAUCUGGUAUGAAUGGCUUGACGAGAUAUGAGCUGUCUUAAAGGUAUUUAUCUAUUGAAUUUAGUUUUUGAGUUAAAAUUCUUAGAUGUUUUUAUGGGACGAGAAGACCCUAUAGAGUUUUACAUCUAGCUCUUCCUUCUUAUUAUGUUUGUUUAUUUAUUUUGAGUUGGUUAGGUGUUUUGUUGGGGUGAUGGGAGGAACAAAAUUAACUCCUCCUUGA